AGCGAACGCUGGCGGCGUGCUUAACACAUGCAAGUCGAGCGAACCUUCGGGUUAGCGGCGAACGGGUGAGUAACACGUGGGCAACCUGCCCCGAGCUCUGGGAUAACCCCGGGAAACCGGGGCUAAUACCGGAUAUGACAUCGACAGACAUCUGUCGUUGUGGAAAGUUUUUCGGCUCGGGAUGGGCCCGCGGCCUAUCAGCUUGUUGGUGGGGUAACGGCCUACCAAGGCGACGACGGGUAGCCGGCCUGAGAGGGCGACCGGCCACACUGGGACUGAGACACGGCCCAGACUCCUACGGGAGGCAGCAGUGGGGAAUAUUGCGCAAUGGGCGAAAGCCUGACGCAGCGACGCCGCGUGAGGGAUGAAGGCC
rnacentral:rRNA from 1 species